GACAGAGGUGCCAAGCGUUAGGCGGAAUCACUGGGCUUAAAGCGUGUGUAGGCGGAAUUGUAAGUACCUUGUGAAAUCCCACGGCUCAACCGUGGAACUGCUUGGUAUACUGCUUUUUCUUGAGCCACUUAGGGGCUGUCGGAACAAACGGUGGAGCGGUGAAAAUGCGUAGAUAUCGUUUUGGAACGCCAAAGGUGAAA
rnacentral:rRNA from 1 species